UACAGAAAUUUAGAAGCCUCUAGAGCCU
rnacentral:piRNA from 1 species